UUCCUGUUUGCAAGAUUUGAGCUUCUAAGGCAUUAACAGUGUUUAAAUAUUUCUGGGUUUCUCUAUUAGGUUCAAUUCCUUUAUAGGGAUC
rnacentral:tRNA from 1 species